UACGAAGGGGCUAGCGUUGUUCGGAAUUACUGGGCGUAAAGCGCACGCAGGCGGAUUGAUAAGUCAGGGGUGAAAUCCCGGGGCUUAACCUCGGAAUUGCCUUUGAUACUGUCUGUCUUGAGUCCGGGAGAGGUGAGUGGAAUUCCUAGUGUAGAGGUGAAAUUCGUAGAUAUUAGGAAGAACACCGGUGGCGAAGGCGGCUCACUGGCCCGGUACUGACGCUGAGGCGCGAAAGCUAGGGGAGCAAACGGG
rnacentral:rRNA from 1 species